rnacentral:rRNA from 1 species
GACAGAGGUGCCGAGCGUUAGGCGGAAUCACUGGGCUUAAAGCGUGUGUAGGCGGGUCGUUAAGUGUCUUGUGAAAUCCCACCGCUCAACGGUGGAACCGCUGGGCAUACUGGCGAUCUUGAGCAGUCCAGGGGCGAGCGGAACAAGCGGUGGAGCGGUGAAAUGCGUAGAUAUCGGAAGGAACACCAGUGGCGAAGGCGACUGUCUGGCCAGAUACUGACGCUGAGGCGCGAAAGCGUGGGGAGCAAACAGG